UUUUGAAUUACCCCUCAAUUUGAUGUUGCAUCUCAUGUUAUUAAUUAAGUCUGCAUAACCGCCAUUGCAAUACGUUUAAUUUAAGUGACGAUGUCAUCAUUCUACUUCCGGGUAAAAUAGAGCUUUAGCUGUAUUCAUUCUAAUUAGAUUUUACUCAUUUUAACCUGCUGUUGAGCCGACUACAAGCUCUUUCUAAGCAUCUGAUCGCAAAGAAAUAUUACAUUUACACCGGAUUUUCUUGAGUAAUGGAAUGGUAAAGUUAACUCCCAUGUGUUAUUUCUUUAGGAUGGAGCAGAGCCCCAACUUUCCACUGAGUUUCCUGAGACCGCCAUGUCCACGAACCAAGACAAAGACCCAACGCGCUCCCAAAGCAUUUCCCAGGAUGCAGCAGAGCCCCAACUUUCCACUGAGUUUCCUGAGACCGCCAUGUCCACGAACCAAGACAAAGACUCAACGCGCUCCCAAAGCAUUUCCCAGUUCAUCCUUCAGUUUGUCAAUCAGUCAUCAAAAGAAAGUGGGAAGAAGAGGAAGUACAAGCAGUUGAGAGGCAUCUGACUUCCUUCAUAACCUCCCUUACUGUUCCAAGGAAACAAGACUGCGAGAAUUGUCUAUAACUUGAAAACGAAGCACUACAAUAUAGAGAUUGCGCUGCCAUAAAAUUUUAUGUGAAAAAUCGAAUCAGAGCCCUUAAAAAGAAACAUUAAGGCAAGGUUUUUUCUGAGAUGCUUUGGGCUAUGUGCACAGUGCCCCCAUGUUAUUUCAAAUUAGCGACGGUUUCCUAUCUUUUACAUUUACGAUUUGCAGAGUCUCACACAAAUGAAGAGAUGGCUCAAGAUUUUGUAAAGGACAGCGCAUAAAAGUUAGAAUGUGACUGGAGCAGGUUAAAAAAUGAUGUAAGAUGGAACGACUUCACUGGAGGAAACCUCCAGGUUCAUAACAGUGGGUGAUUUUGUCUUAAGGCUAACCACUAACACAAAAUAAUUUAAAAUUCAAUUAAAACUAGUGCAAAGUUUUGAACGAGUCUGCGCAAAACGGGAUCAAGUAGUUAGUUUUAAAUUUUAUUGAGUUGUUUACACAUUAUACUGUCAUUAUUGAACACUAGCCUUAAGAUCGUGAGAUAAAAGCUUCUCCCUUACGACCGGGGCAAGAUUCACAUCCAACAAGCUUGUAACAAGUUGCAGUGACCAUCAGUAACUCGCUGUCCUUUACAAAUCUUGACCCAUCUCUUGAUUUGUGUGGGACCCUGCUAAUCGUGUAAGUAAAAGACGGGGGAGAAGGACGGUGUCGCUUUUUUCCAGCUGGAAAUCAUGUGGGGACAGUGUGCAGCCCAUUGAAACUUGGCUCAAUAAAUUUAGAUUUUGUUGCUGGAAAUAUAAGAAAUUUUGUGAUUUUAUGCUUAAAUUCCUUAACUUGUAAUGCAUUUUUUCUCAUGUCCGUAAUCUACAGCAUACGUUUGAAAUUGAUAUCUCUACAUUUAAGUUGAUUACCUUUUUUUACUGCAGUGUCUCGCCUUAUACAGUCCCGAUCAAAAGUUUAAGACCUUUUGCAAAAUGGUAGAAAACAAAGAAAAUCACAUUUUGCAUGGUUAGAACUUAACAAGGUUCCAAGUAGAACUUCAAUAUGCAACAACAAGAAAUGGGAGUGAGACAAAAAAGAGUAAACCUUUAAUUUUGUUCCAUAACCCUCAGUCAUAGAAUUCCUUAAAAGAUCCUUUCUUGCCGUUUCCCACCUCAGCAGUGAUGGCACGCAGCAAGAGACUGUGCUUAUGCAGCACAACCUGACCACGUUUAAACAUUGCUGUCAGGACGUCAUGAGUGUGAGUACCUGACUGAAAAUGACUUUGAAUGAACAUUUGCACAGAUUUGGUCUUUUAAAGGCAUGUGGUCCUAAACUUUUUAGCAGCUGCAAAACGGUCUUAAUUUAAUUGUUACUUCAUUUGUUGUUUUCAAUAAGAGUUAUUCUCAUUUUGUUUUGUUUGUGUCACUCAAAUUUCUUCUUGUGGAAGUUCUGAUUGGUAUCUUGAUCAGAUUCAACCAUGCAAAAUGUUGCCAUCUUUUAAUUAGAGUUAAACUUUUGAUUGGGCCUGUAUAGCAUAAAUCUCUUCUUCCCACCUUUUUUUCAAUGUGUUAAAGCAGCGUUGUUGGGACUACUCCAUUAAUGUUAUCCAACUACUGAUAAUAGAAAGGUCCUUCUACAAGUAGUCUUGUUACUUUGAUUACGUUAUUUCAAAAGGAAGGAAAGACUUCAUUUGGGACUAGGAUCGUCCAGUGUCUUGACGUGCAGCCAAUUGGAUCCUCAGUUUGGUGACAUUUUUUGGGGUCUUUCACUUGACUUUUUUGUUCCAAAAGUCAUCUGAGGACUAAUUACUACUUUGGGUUCGCCCUUUUAAGUGUUUAAUAAGUUCAAUGUGAAGCGUUUCACAGGUAAAUAACUCUCAACCACAGUAUUCUAUAGAGGUACGCCAAUCAGAUCAGUCACUGAUCAUAGCCUGUUCAGCAGAUUUGUAAAAUAUGUUGAUCAACGUGGAUUUCACAUACAUUCUUUCAAUCUAUAUUCUGGUGAAAAUUACGCAGCAUUGCACUGCUCUAAACCAUAAAUGUAUUUUUUAUUGUAAUUAGUGGUUACACAACAGCUCUGGAUGUACUGCUCUAAUUGCCGACUGUAUCCCUCCCACCUGGCGGCUCUACUUGUGACAGCAGCGGUGUGUAGUGUAACUAAUCAAAACAACCAUGGCGCGAGAGCUAGUCUGCUAUGCUUAAGACAAAAGCAUAAUGAAGGUUCAUGACCAUAAAAUAGCCAUAUAUGGACAUAUAACUCAGACAUUAAUUAGUAAUAAUAACGGACUAUAAAAAUACUAUACAAUAAACUAUAAAUAAAGAUAAAUGAUUGAAGCACCUCUAUAAUGUAUACAACAAUUUCUUGAUAGAAGUUUUCAGCUGUCAAUUGUAAUCAGUUGUUACUUGGUUACAAUGGGAUGUUUUGUUUGUAAACAAAUAUAAUUAUCCCCAACUGUUCAAAAGUUAUGAUGUGAUUCUUUCAAUUCAAAUCAAAAUUGAAUAGUGAUUACCUUCUUUGUCUAUGACUAAGUAACAUUUUUGAGAGAGCAUUUUAAGAAG
ensembl:lncRNA